rnacentral:rRNA from 1 species
CCUACGGGGGGCUGCAGUGGGGAAUAUUCCACAAUGGGCGAAACCCUGAUGGAGCGACGCCGCGUGAGUGAAGAAGUAUUUCGGUACGUAAAGCUCUAUCAGCAGGGAAGAAAAUGACGGUACCUGACUAAGCAGCCCCGGCUAACUACGUACCAGCAGCCGCGGUAAUACGUAGGGGGCAAGCGUUCUCCGGAUUUACUGGGUGGAAAGGGAGCGUAGACGGCCAGACAAGUCAGAAGUGAAAGCCCAGGGCUCAACCCUGGGGCUGCAUUUGAAACUGCGGGGCUGGAGUGCAGGAGAGGUAAGCGGAAUUCCAAGUGUAGCGGUGAAAUGCGUAGAUAUUAGGAGGAACACCAGUGGCGAAGGCGGCUUACUGGACUGUAACUGACGUUGAGGCUCGAAAGCGUGGGGAGCAAACAGGAUUAGAUACCCCUGUAGUC